UGCUCCCUGAUGUUAGCGGCGGACGGGUGAGUAACACGUGGGUAACCUGCCUGUAAGACUGGGAUAACUCCGGGAAACCGGGGCUAAUACCGGAUGGUUGUUUGAACCGCAUGGUUCAAACAUAAAAGGUGGCUUCGGCUACCACUUACAGAUGGACCCGCGGCGCAUUAGCUAGUUGGUGAGGUAACGGCUCACCAAGGCAACGAUGCGUAGCCGACCUGAGAGGGUGAUCGGCCACACUGGGACUGAGACACGGCCCAGACUCCUACGGGAGGCAGCAGUAGGGAAUCUUCCGCAAUGGACGAAAGUCUGACGGAGCAACGCCGCGUGAGUGAUGAAGGUUUUCGGAUCGUAAAGCUCUGUUGUUAGGGAAGAACAAGUACCGUUCGAAUAGGGCGGUACCUUGACGGUACCUAACCAGAAAGCCACGGCUAACUACGUGCCAGCAGCCGCGGUAAUACGUAGGUGGCAAGCGUUGUCCGGAAUUAUUGGGCGUAAAGGGCUCGCAGGCGGUUUCUUAAGUCU
rnacentral:rRNA from 1 species